AGCUGUAGAGGAUUCCAUCUGGUGAAGAAGGGGUAGAGGUGGGCUCUGCUUUGUGCUCUUUGUCCCUUGUAUCUGUGGCGACACUGUCACUGCUGUGUGUGUUUCAGGUCCUACCUUGCCUUAACUUAAAGAACUUGGAUGGACGAAUGCUACAUCUUGUCCAAAUCUACCUGUUGAGGAAGUGCAGUGUAAUGCGUCUCCUGGUGCUCAGAUGCCUCGUGGCACUCUGCAAGAGACCCUCUAUGGCUGAAAGCAUGCAAGACCUUACUGAAAGCCUCACAGAGCUGCUGAAAGAGGAAGACAGGGAGGUGGUGUGGCUGACCCUCUCUGUGCUCAGUGACAUUCUCCUGAACAGAGAUGCACCAAUUGCCAUUUCCCUCGCUCUGCAGCUGGCUGAGGCACUCCAGCCACUCUUUGACAAUGAUGCCAGCCAUGUGCAGCUGCUCUCCAUUCGACUCUUUCAAGCGGUGAUGGAGUUGGUAGAUCAAGAAGAACGAAAACCCCUGAAGGACUGUGUGCACCAAAGCCUGCUCCCGCUUUUCUACCACAUGCAUGAUGA
rnacentral:lncRNA from 1 species